rnacentral:rRNA from 1 species
AAGCCAGUGGUGAACUCCACAUACGCAUCCUUUGCUGAGGAUACGGUUAACGGAGCGAAAGCGACGUUCAACCUCAAAAGAAGCAGAGGGGGCUUAGUGGUGGGGUGACUGCGUACCUUUUGUAUAAUGGGUCAGCGACUUAUAUUCUGUAGCAAGGUUAACCGCAUAGGGGAGCCGUAGGGAAACCGAGUCUUAACCGGGCGUUAAGUUGCAGGGUAUAGACCCGAAACCCGGUGAUCUAGCCAUGGGCAGGUUGAAGGUUGGGUAACACUAACUGGAGGACCGAACCGACUAAUGUUGAAAAAUUAGCGGAUGACCUGUGGCUGGGGGUGAAAGGCCAAUCAAACCGGGAGAUAGCUGGUUCUCCCCGAAAGCUAUUUAGGUAGCGCCUCGUGAACUCAUCUCCGGGGGUAGAGCACUGUUUCGGCUAGGGGGCCAUCCCGGCUUACCAACCCGAUGCAAACUGCGAAUACCGAAGAAUGUUAUCACGGGAGACACACGGCGGGUGCUAACGUCCGUCGUGAAGAGGGAAACAACCCAGACCGCCAGCUAAGGUCCCAAAGUCAUGGUUAAGUGGGAAACGAUGUGGGAAGGCACAGACAGCCAGGAUGUUGGCUUAGAAGCAGCCAUCAUUUAAAGAAAGCGUAAUAGCUCACUGGUCGAGUCGGCCUGCGCGGAAGAUGUAACGGGGCUAAACCAUGCACCGAAGCUGCGGCAGCGACACUAUGUGUUGUUGGGUAGGGGAGCGUUCUGUAAGCCGUUGAAGGUGUCCUGUGAGGGAUGCUGGAGGUAUCAGAAGUGCGAAUGCUGACAUAAGUAACGAUAAUGCGGGUGAAAAACCCGCACGCCGGAAGACCAAGGGUUCCUGUCCAACGUUAAUCGGGGCAGGGUGAGUCGACCCCUAAGGCGAGGCCGAAAGGCGUAGUCGAUGGGAAACAGGUUAAUAUUCCUGUACUUGGUGUUACUGCGAAGGGGGGACGGAGAAGGCUAUGUUGGCCGGGCGACGGUUGUCCCGGUUUAAGCGUGUAGGUGUGUGUUCUAGGUAAAUCCGGUUCACUUUAACACUGAGGCGUGAUGACGAGGCACUACGGUGCUGAAGUGACAAAUGCCCUGCUUCCAGGAAAAGCCUCUAAGCAUCAGGUAACACGAAAUCGUACCCCAAACCGACACAGGUGGUCAGGUAGAGAAUACCAAGGCGCUUGAGAGAACUCGGGUGAAGGAACUAGGCAAAAUGGUGCCGUAACUUCGGGAGAAGGCACGCUGAUAUGUAGGUGAAGCGGUUUACCCGUGGAGCUGAAAUCAGUCGAAGAUACCAGCUGGCUGCAACUGUUUAUUAAAAACACAGCACUGUGCAAACACGAAAGUGGACGUAUACGGUGUGACGCCUGCCCGGUGCCGGAAGGUUAAUUGAUGGGGUUAUCCGUAAGGAGAAGCUCUUGAUCGAAGCCCCGGUAAACGGCGGCCGUAACUAUAACGGUCCUAAGGUAGCGAAAUUCCUUGUCGGGUAAGUUCCGACCUGCACGAAUGGCGUAAUGAUGGCCAGGCUGUCUCCACCCGAGACUCAGUGAAAUUGAACUCGCUGUGAAGAUGCAGUGUACCCGCGGCAAGACGGAAAGACCCCGUGAACCUUUACUAUAGCUUGACACUGAACACUGGUCCUUGAUGUGUAGGAUAGGUGGGAGGCUUUGAAGUGUGGACGCCAGUCUGCAUGGAGCCAUCCUUGAAAUACCACCCUUUAAUGGCUGGUGUUCUAACGUGGGCCCCUAAUCGGGGUUGCGGACAGUGUCUGGUGGGUAGUUUGACUGGGGCGGUCUCCUCCCAAAGAGUAACGGAGGAGCACGAAGGUUAGCUAAUCCUGGUCGGACAUCAGGAGGUUAGUGCAAAGGCAUAAGCUAGCUUGACUGCGAGAGUGACGGCUCGAGCAGGUGCGAAAGCAGGUC